rnacentral:miRNA from 1 species
UACCCGUAGCUCCGAAUAUGUG